AUAAUGGGUCAGCGACUUAUAUUCUGUAGCAAGGUUAACCGAAUAGGGGAGCCGAAGGGAAACCGAGUCUUAACUGGGCGUUAAGUUGCAGGGUAUAGACCCGAAACCCGGUGAUCUAGCCAUGGGCAGGUUGAAGGUUGGGUAACACUAACUGGAGGACCGAACCGACUAAUGUUGAAAAAUUAGCGGAUGACUUGUGGCUGGGGGUGAAAGGCCAAUCAAACCGGGAGAUAGCUGGUUCUCCCCGAAAGCUAUUUAGGUAGCGCCUCGUGAAUUCAUCUCCGGGGGUAGAGCACUGUUUCGGCAAGGGGGUCAUCCCGACUUACCAACCCGAUGCAAACUGCGAAUACCGGAGAAUGUUAUCACGGGAGACACACGGCGGGUGCUAACGUCCGUCGUGAAGAGGGAAACAACCCAGACCGCCAGCUAAGGUCCCAAAGUCAUGGUUAAGUGGGAAACGAUGUGGGAAGGCCCAGACAGCCAGGAUGUUGGCUUAGAAGCAGCCAUCAUUUAAAGAAAGCGUAAUAGCUCACUGGUCGAGUCGGCCUGCGCGGAAGAUGUAACGGGGCUAAACCAUGCACCGAAGCUGCGGCAGCGACGCUUAUGCGUUGUUGGGUAGGGGAGCGUUCUGUAAGCCUGUGAAGGUGUGCUGUGAGGCAUGCUGGAGGUAUCAGAAGUGCGAAUGCUGACAUAAGUAACGAUAAAGCGGGUGAAAAGCCCGCUCGCCGGAAGACCAAGGGUUCCUGUCCAACGUUAAUCGGGGCAGGGUGAGUCGACCCCUAAGGCGAGGCCGAAAGGCGUAGUCGAUGGGAAACAGGUUAAUAUUCCUGUACUUGGUGUUACUGCGAAGGGGGGACGGAGAAGGCUAUGUUGGCCGGGCGACGG
rnacentral:rRNA from 1 species